CUUGCAGCAAGCAGCUUCUCAGCAGAACGGCUACAUUGCACAAGCUGCAUUUUUGGAGGAGCUCAGUGGAAGAAAGCUCUGGGAUUUUAUUUUAGAUCCACUUUAUUUUGUUUUCUUUGGCUUUGCCCUUCCUCUUGAUCAUUUGCAACAGCAACAACAACAACAAAAAAAGUGACUUGGUAUUGGCGAUUCGGCCUCCGGUUCAUUGAGGAAAAAAAAAGGGCUGGAUUUAUUUGCAAGCCGCAGGAAGAAGAAAAUACAAGAGAGAGAGGGGUUUGGUGCAGCGCCGCGAUCACGGAAUUCAGAUGUGUUCUAAGCCUGCCGGGGU
rnacentral:lncRNA from 14 species